AAGCAAGCAAGCAAUCAUGGCAUCACCUGCAAUCUGGCAUGACACGCCAGGUUAGUACAUUGAAUGUACUUGCAAGCUCACAACAACCAUAAACAUCAAGGCGAGACAAUAACAUAGCAUUUAACAGGUUAAUUAAAUUAACAACUAUUAUGAUGAAACAACUACUAAGCAUGGUAUGAAACUGAUACAAUACUAAUAAAUCACCAUCUCAGAUCUCCAUAACCAUAUCACUCUUGGCUAACCGGCCAAGCAAUAUACCAUCUCGAUCACCUCGUGAUCAAAUCCAAACAGUGCUCUUUCCGGCGAUCACUACCAUGACCAACACUUGGUCUCAAAUGGUGAUCUUUCCGGCGAUCACUACCAUGACCAACACUUGGUCUCGAACGGUGAUCUUUCCGGUGAUCACUACCACGACCAACACUUGGUCUCAAACGGUGAUCUUUCCGGCGAUCACUACCACGACCAACACUUGGUCUCCAACAUCAUCAUCAACAUCCUGCCAAUCUGUACUACUCAAAUAUCAACAUAUAUAUAUGUAUAUCUAUAUCACCUAUAAGUCAUUCCGUCAUGUGAGUGUUGAUCGAACGGUGGGACCUAGUAUGAACCCAUGCCCAUGAUCGAGGACGCGGCUAUCGAUAGUUUAAACAAAUACACUCUGUAGAGGUAGCGCACUUUACCCACACCACGAAACCCAUGGCCUCGCACUCCCAUUCAGGUGGACCAGCGGUGUUCCGACAAAACCGUUCUACUACCAUGACACUCUCCCGGCCACUCCGACCAACACCCCUUCUGGGUUUAGUCCUGGGUGGCCCCGUGUCUACCAAAGACACAACGACCACCGUCGUGGCCAAAACAUAAACGUCCCAAUGGGGACAAAAAGGCGCCUAACAACUACGGGCACACAAGGUUAUGUCUGCUUACCGGGCCAGGGUACGCACGCCCAUAACCUUCCCUCGUUGGAGGCACCGACAAGAGACAUGACAAUAGACCACAUUAUGGCCUUCCCAUAAGGCAAAUGUGGUUGCACUGGAAGAGCCCGGUUCGGUGGCACCUGACCAACUUAAUGACGAAAUUUAUCCCCAAAAAUAUAACUGUGAUAACUGAUACUCCAAUAUCAACUAUCAAACUAUAAUCCAAGUCAUAGCAAUAACCAACAAAUAAUCCAAGCAUAAUAUCAUCAUCUCAAAAUACUCCAAGGGUAGCACUACACUACUGUCAUGAUGAAUCCGAAAAUCAUAAUCCUACUACUCCAAUAACAAGAAUAAAGCUAUUCGGCUAAGAUCCACAUGUAAACAUCAUUUCUGAAAAUAAUACUCCAAGCAACAGAACAUCAACUAGCAUCAUGAAAAAUAAUCAUACUAACCACUAAUAAUCCAAAGGUAGCAUGAUAUCCAAAGUAAUACUUCAAAAUAAUACCGGAUACCAUCAUGAAAAUAAUAAUCAUAAUAGCCACUAAGAAUCCAAAGGCACGUGUCAUCCACAUAAUCAUCAAAAUAUUAAUCCUAGAACUCCAAGCAAUAUCAUGGCAAUAUCAAGCUCUAAACAAUACUCCCGGAAAUGCCAUGAACAAAUCAUACAUAGCUAAUGCAGUGUUUUAAACAAGUUCAAAUGAAUAAACCAUGUCACUGCAUUGCAAUCAUGCAAAUGGAGGGUGUGGCUUGUCUGGGAUGGAAGAAUACACCGCGAGAAAGUGCGAGAAACUCGCGGAACGAAUCACCGGAAAGCGUUCUCUCUCGGAGGGGG
rnacentral:lncRNA from 1 species